CGGCGCACGGGGGAGUAACGCGUAUCCAACCCUGCCCCAUACUCGGGGACAGCCCGUCGAAAGGCGGAUUUAAUACCUGAUGUUAUUGUUUGAAGGCAAUCUGAUAACAAUCAAAGAUUUAUCGGUAUGGGAUGGGGGAUGCGUCUGAUUAGCUUGUCGGCGGGGUAACGGCCCACCGAGGCGACGAUCAGUAGGGGUUCUGAGAGGAAGGUCCCCCACACUGGAACUGAGACACGGUCCAGACUCCUACGGGAGGCAGCAGUGAGGAAUAUUGGUCAAUGGAUGAGAAUCUGAACCAGCCAAGUAGCGUGCAGGAUGACGGCCCUAUGGGUUGUAAACUGCUUUUAUACGGGAAUAAAUGACGACACGUGUGUUGUUUUGUAGGUACCGUAUGAAUAAGGACCGGCUAAUUCCGUGCCAGCAGCCGCGGUAAUACGGAAGGUCCGGGCGUUAUCCGGAUUUAUUGGGUUUAAAGGGAGCGUAGGCCGGCGCUUAAGCGUGCCGUGAAAUGUCCCGGCUCAACCGGGGCACUGCGGCGCGAACUGGGUGCCUUGAGUGCGCGGAACGUAUGCGGAAUUCGAGGUGUAGCGGUGAAAUGCUUAGAUAUCACGAAGAACUCCGAUUGCGAAGGCAGCAUACGGCAGCGUAACUGACGCUGAAGCUCGAAGGUGCGGGUAUCGAACAGGAUUAGAUACCCUGGUAGUCCGCACGGUAAACGAUGGAUGCCCGCUGUUGGCGAUAUAUUGUCAGCGGCCAAGCGAAAGCGUUAAGCAUCCCACCUGGGGAGUACGCCGGCAACGGUGAAACUCAAAGGAAUUGACGGGGGCCCGCACAAGCGGAGGAACAUGUGGUUUAAUUCGAUGAUACGCGAGGAACCUUACCCGGGCUCGAACUGCAGGUGAACGAUUCAGAGAUGAUGAGGUCCUUCGGGACACCUGUGGAGGUGCUGCAUGGUUGUCGUCAGCUCGUGCCGUGAGGUGUCGGCUUAAGUGCCAUAACGAGCGCAACCCCUGUUCUCAGUUGCCAUCGGGUCAUGCCGGGCACUCUGUGAAGACUGCCUCCGUAAGGAGUGAGGAGGGUGGGGAUGACGUCAAAUCAGCACGGCCCUUACGUCCGGGGCUACACACGUGUUACAAUGGGUGAUACAGAGAGUCGGCGGCCGGCAACGUCCGUCUAAUCUAUAAAGUCAUCCUCAGUUCGGACUGGGGUCUGCAACCCGACCCCACGAAGCUGGAUUCGCUAGUAAUCGCGCAUCAGCCAUGGCGCGGUGAAUACGUUCCCGGGCCUUGCACACACCACCCGUCAAG
rnacentral:rRNA from 1 species